UUAGGGGCUGUCACUGGAGUCCCCUCUUUGCUGAGGUAGUAUGUAUCAGCUGAGCUACUCUCUUGUUAUUUAGCCACCAGGGCUGGCCUGUAGAGAGGGAGCGAUUUUUAUUUGAGGUAUAGAUACUGGCUUCUUGCACUAUGAAAUGAUUAAGGGAAAAGCUACACACUAAAGUUACUGGUAGUAUAUUAUACAUGAAUCAGCCACCUGCAGUGCCCAGAGUAGGUGAGGAAGAUACUUUAGUUCUCAAAAUCCUGUCUCUUGCUUUCUAGACAUUCACUACUUUCACUGCCUAAGAAUCCUGGACCUUCUCAAAGGCACAGAGGCCUCCACGAAAAAUAUUUUUGGCCGAUACUCUUCACAGCGGAUGAAGGAUUGGCAGGAGAUUAUAGCCCUGUAUGAGAAGGACAACACCUACUUAGGUAAAGUGGCCUGGCCUGGGAGCCCUGGUAUCCAUGGGGAAGCCCACUCUCAGAGUUCUGAGAUACCAGGCUUAUAGGAGGCACAGUCUGUGAGUGGGAAGAGACUGGAGUAUAGAUGUUGCCUGUUUGUAGGUG
rnacentral:sRNA from 1 species